AAUGCGAAAUAGCAACAUUCGAAUUAGCCCACAAUUUCGUGUCCAUAGUAAUUCGAAACAGACUGUUUUAAAUUACUACCUGUUUUGGCUGCCGUUGGUAAUUCGAAUCCUACUCAUUCGAAUUACAUGGCCCUUGUCUAUAUAAAGAGUUUGAGGUAACCUCAUUCGAACCACUAUUCUAAAUCCAUGCCCCACCAAAUUCCAGAGAAAAGGACCCCGUACGACUCCAACAAAGGCUUGAGCAGAAUAUUUAGCCGAUGGGGGAUAAUUCGGACCGACUUUAUCGUUUGGAUGGAGUAGCCC